GCGACGCUGGCGGCGUGCCUAAUACAUGCAAGUCGAGCGGAUCGCAUGGGAGCUUGCUCCCUGAGAUCAGCGGCGGACGGGUGAGUAACACGUGGGUAACCUGCCUGUAAGACUGGGAUAACUCCGGGAAACCGGGGCUAAUACCGGAUAACACCUACCCCCGCAUGGGGGAAGGUUGAAAGGUGGCUUCGGCUAUCACUUACAGAUGGACCCGCGGCGCAUUAGCUAGUUGGUGAGGUAACGGCUCACCAAGGCGACGAUGCGUAGCCGACCUGAGAGGGUGAUCGGCCACACUGGGACUGAGACACGGCCCAGACUCCUACGGGAGGCAGCAGUAGGAAUCUUCCGCAAUGGACGAAAGUCUGACGGAGCAACGCCGCGUGAGUGAAGAAGGUUUUCGGAUCGUAAAACUCUGUUGUUAGGGAAGAACAAGUGCCGUUCGAAUAGGGCGGCACCUUGACGGUACCUAA
rnacentral:rRNA from 2 species